rnacentral:rRNA from 1 species
GAUGAACGCUGGCGGCGUGCCUAAUACAUGCAAGUCGAGCGAAUGGAUUAAGAGCUUGCUCUUAUGAAGUUAGCGGCGGACGGGUGAGUAACACGUGGGUAACCUGCCCAUAAGACUGGGAUAACUCCGGGAAACCGGGGCUAAUACCGGGUAACAUUUUGAACCGCAUGGUUCGAAAUUGAAAGGCGGCUUCGGCUGUCACUUAUGGAUGGACCCGCGUCGCAUUAGCUAGUUGGUGAGGUAACGGCUCACCAAGGCAACGAUGCGUAGCCGACCUGAGAGGGUGAUCGGCCACACUGGGACUGAGACACGGCCCAGACUCCUACGGGAGGCAGCAGUAGGGAAUCUUCCGCAAUGGACGAAAGUCUGACGGAGCAGCGCCGCGUGAGUGAUGAAGGCUUUCGGGUCGUAAAACUCUGUUGUUAGGGAAGAACAAGUGCUAGUUGAAUAAGCUGGCACCUUGACGGUACCUAACCAGAAAGCCACGGCUAACUACGUGCCAGCCGCCGCCGUAA